UGCUGCAUACAAAGAUUGAGGAUAUCAAGCCGACCAUGAAGAUACUAUGACAGCUGCAGAAAUUUUAGUGAGCCUACAUUUACAAGUAACUUACGAUCAACCUGUACCCGUUGAUUGUGCAGCUGCCUCCGUCACAACAGAGCAAUGUCUGAUCAACUUUCGAUGAAAGUUCUUCAGGUGUUAUAUCAUAUGCUGACUCUUCAUUCAAAGUUGUAACUGGCUCAGGAAGACAGUCCUCGCACUGUGAAGAAGUGUUUCUGUCUGUGGAGUCCUUGUGUGAAUAAAUGCUUGUGAGAACUG